UACGUAGGGGGCAAGCGUUAUCCGGAAUUACUGGGUGUAAAGGGAGCGUAGACGGCUGAGCAAGUCUGGAGUGAAAGGCCGGGGCCCAACCCCGGGACUGCUCUGGAAACUGUCCGGCUUGAGUGCAGGAGAGGUAAGCGGAAUUCCUAGUGUAGCGGUGAAAUGCGUAGAUAUUAGGAGGAACACCAGUGGCGAAGGCGGCUUACUGGACUGUAACUGACGUUGAGGCUCGAAAGCGUGGGGAGCAA
rnacentral:rRNA from 1 species